rnacentral:rRNA from 1 species
UACGGGGGGGGCAAGCGUUGUUCGGAAUUACUGGGCGUAAAGGGCGCGUAGGCGGCCUGCUAAGUCGGACGUGAAAUCCCCCGGCUCAACCGGGGAACUGCGUCCGAUACUGGUGGGCUCGAAUCCGGGAGAGGGAUGUGGAAUUCCAGGUGUAGCGGUGAAAUGCGUAGAUAUCGUAAGGAAGACCAGUGGCGAAGGCGGGUCUCUGGACAGUUCCUGACACUGAGACACGAAGGCCAGGGGAGCAAACGGG